UUGAAAGGGAAACGAUUGAAGUCAGUCGUACCAGCGGGAAAUCAACCUUUCGAGUGGGGUUUUGGAGUUUUGAAGAGUGUCAAAACCUUUGAGAUUUCAAAAUUUUCGCUCCUUUGGUGUACUUUCUCGUGGGUAGGUUAACAUCGAUUUCGAUCAUCAUAAAAGGAUCGGAGGAAUGUAGCUUCGGCUUCGGUUGAAGUGUUAUAGCCUUUGGUAAAUGUGGUGAUUAGGACCGAGGAUUGCAACGAAUACCUUUUAGGCUAUCCGUCUGACCUCUGAAAGUUACUUAGGUGCCGAAAGCUUGCUUACGGUCAUUUAAGUUGACGGUCAAUAGGUUAGAACGUGAUUACAUUCGUUAAGGAUGUUGACGUA
rnacentral:rRNA from 1 species